rnacentral:rRNA from 1 species
AGAUUGAACGCUGGCGGCGUGCUUAACACAUGCAAGUCGAGCGGUAACGCGGGAGCAAUCCUGGCGACGAGCGGCGAACGGGUGAGUAAUGCUUGGGAAUCUGCCCAUUAGUGGGGAACAACCAGCCGAAAGGUUGGCUAAUACCGCAUACGCCCUACGGGGGAAAGCGGGGGAUCGAAAGACCUCGCGCUAAUGGAUGAGCCCAAGUCGGAUUAGCUUGUUGGUAGGGUAACGGCCUACCAAGGCGACAAUCCGUAGCUGGUCUGAGAGGACGACCAGCCACACUGGGACUGAGACACGGCCCAGACUCCUACGGGAGGCAGCAGUGGGGAAUAUUGGACAAUGGGGGCAACCUGAUCCAGCGACGCCGCGUGUGUGAAGAAGGCCUGCGGUUGUAAGCACUUUAGUGGGAUGAAAAGCUCAGGUUAACACCUCUGGGUCUUGACCUAACCACAGAAAAAGCACCGGCUAACUCUGCGCCAGCAGCCGCGGU